rnacentral:rRNA from 1 species
UACGGGGGGGGCAAGCGUUGUUCGGAAUUACUGGGCGUAAAGGGCUCGUAGGCGGCCAACUAAGUCAGACGUGAAAUCCCUCGGCUUAACCGGGGAACUGCGUCUGAUACUGGAUGGCUUGAGAUUGGGAGAGGGACGCGGAAUUCCAGGUGUAGCGGUGAAAUGCGUAGAUAUCUGGAGGAACACCGGUGGCGAAGGCGGCAUCCUGGACCAACACUGACGCUGAGGAGCGAAAGCCAGGGGAGCAAACGGG